rnacentral:tRNA from 1 species
GGAGAGGUGACCGAGCGGCCGAAGGUGCACGACUGGAAAUCGUGUGUACCGAAAGGUACCGAGGGUUCGAAUCCCUCCCUCUCCG